rnacentral:rRNA from 1 species
UACGUAGGGGGCUAGCGUUGUCCGGAUUUAUUGGGGCGAAAGAGCGUGUAGGCGGCCAGGUAGGUCUGGUGUGAAAACUCGAGGCUUAACCUCGAGAUGUCAUCGGAAACCAUCUGGCUAGAGUCCGGAAGAGGAGAGUGGAAUUCCUGGUGUAGCGGUGAAAUGCGCAGAUAUCAGGAAGAACACCAAUGGCGAAAGCAGCUCUCUGGGACGGUACUG